CCUACGGGUGGCAGCAGUGAGGAAUAUUGGUCAAUGGGCGCGAGCCUGAACCAGCCAAGUCGCGUGAGGGAAGACGGUCCUAUGGAUUGUAAACCUCUUUUGUCGGGGAGCAAAUGAUGCCACGCGUGGCGUUCCGAGAGUACCCGAAGUAAAAGCAUCGGCUAACUCCGUGCGAGCAGCCGCGGUAAUACGGAGGAUGCGAGUGUUAUCAUGUUUUAUUGGGUUUAAAGUGUGAGUGGUCGGAAGAUAAAGUCAGAGGUAAAAUUGAGAGGCUUAACCUCUGCGAGCCGUUGACACUGGUUUUCUUGAUUGAGCGAGAGGUAUGCGGAAUGCGUGGUGUAGCGGUGAAAUGCAUAGAUAUCACGCAGAACUCCGAUUGCGAAGGCAGCAUACCGGCGCUCAACUGACGCGCAUGCACGAAAGUGUGGGGAUCGAACAGGAUUAGAUACCCCAGUAGUC
rnacentral:rRNA from 1 species